rnacentral:misc_RNA from 1 species
UGGCGGGUCAAAUUUCGCCGGUAAAUGAGAGCGGCUGAGCAACCAGUACUUGCUGCCGUGAAGAUCAUGCUUGCAAUAAGCAAACGCAUGAAAAACUCUUCCAUCAGAUCUUGGGGCUUCAUUUUCAGGCCUUCCGAUAUCAAUUGCGUCUCAAGGGAAGCUCCUCAUAUGUUUUGUUACUCUGGACAAAGUGUUCCAAAUCCAUAUUUGCCUAAAGCUACUUCCCUUAUGCGUUUUCUUGGUCAUAGCAACUCCUCAAUUUCCAGAAACUAUCACCAAAUGAGAUUAAUUCCUAA